CAGCCGCCACGGUAAAACGGAGGGUGCAAGCGUUAAUCGGAAUUACUGGGCGUAAAGCGUGCGUAGGCGGUUCGUUAAGUCUGUUGUGAAAGCCCCGGGCUCAACCUGGGAAUGGCAAUGGAUACUGGCGAGCUAGAGUGUGUCAGAGGAUGGUGGAAUUCCCGGUGUAGCGAUGAAAUGCGUAGAGAUCGGGAGGAACAUCAGUGACGAAGGCGGCCAUCUGGGACAACACUGACGCUGAGGCACGAAAGCGUGGGGAGCAAACAGGAUUAGAUACCCGUGUAGUCCCUGUCUCUUAUAC
rnacentral:rRNA from 1 species